CAUGCUCUCUGCUUUUCCUCUGAUAUGCUCUUCCUUAGCAUCAACAAAGACCCUGCUCUGGUCUGCUCUACAGAAAUGACAUCCGAAGCAGCAUUAAGUACUUCGAACAUAGAGAGGAAUCCAUACUGCGAAUACUGAAAUGAACGUCCAAAUCGCCUGACAAAUGCCUUUUCAAAGUCAGAAAGGAGAACAGGAGAUAACGCCAAGAGGUCUUUCAACUCACUCUUCACAACAGCUGGAAGAAUCGGGGGCACCCUUCCCCGAUAACCACUUGUUAGCUCCUCUAUCAGAAGAUGAAGACAGAAAGAUCAAGACCAUUAUUUAUCAUUACUGCUGACUCCUGAAAUAUCUGAAACUCUCAAGAUGAACAAACUUCCCUGCAAUGUUUCUUGUGUGUGUGUGCUCCAUGAAAUUUAAAACAUGAUUUCAUAGUUAAAAAGUCCCAUUGUUACACUUCUCCCAAUUUUUCUGAAAUCACACGUAGAUCCUGUGAAUAAACGUUUUCUUGAUUUUG